rnacentral:rRNA from 1 species
AUGGAUUAACGAGAUUCCCACUGUCCCUAUCUACUAUCUAGUGAACCCACAGGCAGGGGAACGGGCCUGCAAGACACAGCGGGGAAAGAAGACCCUGUUGAGCUUGACUCUAGUCUGAUUUUGUAGAGAGACAUGAGAGGUGUAGCAUAAGUGGGAGGGGUAAGACCCGACAGUGAAAUACCACUACUUUCAUCGUUUCUUUACUUACUCGGGGAGACGGAAGCGGACCCCCGCGGUCCUUCUUCUAGCCUUAAGCGGCCGGCUUCGCGUCGGCCGCGAUCCGCUCCGAGGACAUUAUCAGGCGGGGAGUUUGACUGGGGCGGUACAUCUGUCAAACGAUAACGCAGGUGUCCUAAGGCCAGCUCAGCGAGGACAGAAACCUCGCGUAGAGCAAAAGGGCAAAUGCUGGCUUGAUCCUGAUUUUCAGUACGAAUACGGACCGCGAAAGCGUGGCCUAUCGAUCCUUUUGACUUUAAGAGUUUUAAGCAAGAGGUGUCAGAAAAGUUACCCACAGGGAUAACUGGCUUGUGGCGGGCAAGCGUUCAUAGCGACGUCGCUUUUUUGAUC